GAACCGUACGAACGUUAUUCGGAAUCACUGGGCUUAAAGGGUGCGUAGGCGGCUUGGCAAGUUGGGUGUGAAAUCCCUCGGCUCAACCGAGGAACUGCGCUCAAAACUGCCAGGCUUGAGGGAGACAGAGGUGAGCGGAACUAAUGGUGGAGCGGUGAAAUGCGUUGAUAUCAUUAGGAACACCGGUGGCGAAGGCGGCUCACUGGGUCUCUUCUGACGCUGAGGCACGAAAGCUAGGGGUAGCGAACGGGAUUAGAUACCCCGGUAGUCCUAGCUGUAAACGAUGAGCACUGGAUCGAGGGCCCCUUCCACAGGCUCUCGGUCGUAGCGAAAGUGUUAAGUGCUCCGCCUGGGAGUAUGGUCGCAAGGCUG
rnacentral:rRNA from 1 species